rnacentral:misc_RNA from 1 species
AAGUCGUAACAAGGUCUCCGUUGGUGAACCAGCGGAGGGAUCAUUAAAAAGGGUCCAUAGACACCUUAAACCUACCGUGCUCCCAUCGUGGAAACAAGAAUCAUGAAAGCCCCCCGUGGCAGAAGUCAUCUGAGAACAGAAACGCGCCCCGGCGCGGCAAACAAAACAAAAUCACAACCCAUAACAAUGGAUCUCUUGGCUCUG